AGUCACUGACAUUAGAUACCCCUGUAGUCCAGGGUGUAAACGCUGCAGACUUGGUGUUUGGAGGCCCUUUGGGGCAUUCAGUGCCGGAGAGAAGUUGUUAAGUCUGCUACUUGGGGAGUACGUCCGCAAGGAUGAACUUAAAGGAAUUGGCGGGGGAGCACCGCAACGGGAGGAGCGUGCGGUUUAAUUGGAUUCAACACCGUAAAACUCACCAGGGAAGACUGUUACAUGAAGGCCGAGAUGAAGACUCUGCUAGAUUUUCAG
rnacentral:rRNA from 1 species